rnacentral:rRNA from 1 species
UACGUAGGGCGCAAGCGUUAUCCGGAAUUAUUGGGCGUAAAGAGCUCGUAGGCGGUUUGUCGCGUCUGCCGUGAAAGUCCGGGGGCUCAACUCCGGAUCUGCGGUGGGUACGGGCAGACUAGAGUGAUGUAGGGGAGACUGGAAUUCCUGGUGUAGCGGUGGAAUGCGCAGAUAUCAGGAGGAACACCGAUGGCGAAGGCAGGUCUCUGGGCCACUACUGACGCUGAGAAGCGAAAGCAUGGGGGAGCGAACAGG